rnacentral:rRNA from 1 species
AGCAGCCGCGGUAAUUCCAGCUCCAAUAGCGUAUAUUAAAGUUGUUGCAGUUAAAAAGCUCGUAGUUGAAUUUCGGGGUUAGUAGGUUGGUCGUGCCACUGGUACGUACUGGUCUCACUGAUUCCUCCUUCCUGAUGAACUGUAAUGCCAUUAAUUUGGUGUUGCAGGGAAACUGGACUGUUACUUUGAAAAAAUUAGAGUGUUUGAAGCAAGCUAACGCUUGAAUACAUUAGCAUGGAAUAAUGAAAUAGGACGUUCGAUCCUAUUUUGUUGGUUUCUAGGAUUGACGUAAUGAUUAAUAGGGAUAGUUGGGGGCAUCAGUAUUCAAUUGUCAGAGGUGAAAUUCUUGGAUUUAUUGAAGACUAACUACUGCGAAAGCAUUUGCCAAGGAUGUUUUCAUUAAUCAAGAACGAAAGUUAGGGGAUCGAAGACGAUCAGAUACCGUCGUAGUCCUAACCAUAAACUAUGCCGACUAGGGAUCGGAUGAUGUUAAUUUUUUAAUGACUCAUUCGGCGCCUUA